rnacentral:rRNA from 1 species
AGAGUUUGAUCAUGGCUCAGGAUGAACGCUGGCGGCGUGCCUAACACAUGCAAGUCGAGCGAUUUACUUCGGUAAGGAGCGGCGGACGGGUGAGUAACGCGUGGGUAACCUGCCUCAUACACAUGGAUAACAUACCGAAAGGUAUGCUAAUACAAGAUGAUAUAAGAGAUUCGCAUGGAUUUCUUAUCAAAGCUCCGGCGGUAUGAGAUGGACCCGCGUCUGAUUAGCUAGUUGGUAAGGUAACGGCUUACCAAGGCGACGAUCAGUAGCCGACCCGAGAGGGUGAUCGGCCACAUUGGAACUGAGACACGGUCCAAACUCCUACGGGAGGCAGCAGUGGGGAAUAUUGCACAAUGGGCGAAAGCCUGAUGCAGCAACGCCGCGUGAGCGAUGAAGGCCUUCGGGUCGUAAAGCUCUGUCCUCAAGGAGGAUAAUGACGGUACUUGAGGAGGAAGCCCCGGCUAACUACGUGCCAGCAGCCGCGGUAAUACGUAGGGGGCUAGCGUUAUCCGGAUUUACUGGGCGUAAAGGGUGCGUAGGUGGUUUCUUAAGUCAGGAGUGAAAGGCUACGGCUCAACCGUAGUAAGCUCUUGAAACUGGGAGACUUGAGUGCAGGAGAGGAAAGUGGAAUUCCUAGUGUAGCGGUGAAAUGCGUAGAUAUUAGGAGGAACACCAGUAGCGAAGGCGGCUUUCUGGACUGUAACUGACACUGAGGCACGAAAGCGUGGGGAGCAAACAGGAUUAGAUACCCUGGUAGUCCACGCCGUAAACGAUGAGUACUAGGUGUCGGGGGUUACCCCCCUCGGUGCCGCAGCUAACGCAUUAAGUACUCCGCCUGGGGAGUACACUCGCAAGAGUGAAACUCAAAGGAAUUGACGG